rnacentral:lncRNA from 1 species
AGUUAGAAGGAAUAAAAGUGAGAUAAUGAAUUGUCAUUAAUGUGUAAAGUGAAGGACCAAAGUUGAUAUUCUGCAAAGGAUUAUGGUGGUAAUUAAUCCAUAGUAAUUAGAUUAGUGUAGAAGCUCAAUCCUAGCUGUACCGGUCCAAAUUUGACCGGGCCUAAAUCAGCCUAAUAUACCCAAGCCCAAAACUAACCCCAAAGACCCAGACCCGAUUACAAACAAGCCCAAACCACCAGUAGAAAAAAAAGAAGAAGCAGCAAACCCUAGGGCCACUUGCCUCCACUUGCACUGCCUCCGUCCCAUCAUCCCAUCACCUGCAAAACAAACAGAGAGCAGAAAGCACGCAAAAGAGAAGCAAAACAAAGCAGAAGCAGAAGCAGCAAGCAAUAGCAGAGAUCAAAAAAAAUAUUUCUUUUGUAACCGACUAUAAAGUCGAAAAGGAAAUCAAACGAGAGGGGACUCGAUUGUAUUUGCAAAAAAAGAGGGAUUUUCAAUAUUCAAAAACGAAUACAAUAUAAGAGAAUAAAGCCAGCAAAAGGAUUGAUUAAAAAGGUAGAUCUUUGUGCUUUACAUACCGAAUAUAGUGUACAUACAUAGAUAGUUGUAUAGAUAUAAUAUUUUUACCUUUUUUUGGGCGAUCGGAAAGAUGGAAACCGAAUGGUUUUCUCGGUUUUUCGCAACGGUUGUGGGUCUUUUUGUUGUUUGAGGCUCAGAUUUGGAACGAGGGGAGCAAAAGGGGUCGAAUAGGCGCCAUCUUCGUACCUCCGGCCACCGGCGAUGGACUGCGACGGUCCCCUGUGGCCGGACUUAAGACCCCAGCGGAGAAAAACAAAAGAGCUUCUAAAUUUUUUAGAAAUUUGGCAGAAGUGAUGAUUUUUUUUUCAAAAAAAGGUGGCUUAAAUAGGUGCAUAAAACGGCACCGUAUUGGGAGGAUGCUUUCAACGCAAAAACGGCACCGUUUGGUGCUAGACCCGCGACCCGAUCCAAUUGAUAACAGGACCCGCGUGUUUUCUUCCCUAAAAGGGAUAUGUGCACGUUUGAUCCCUCCCUUUUGCGUGGUCAUUCAAUUAGGCCAUCUAUGCUUUCCUUUGUCUUUUUAAUUCGUCCCUGAAAUUUGCACGUUAUUGCAAAUUAAUCCACGUCUAAACGCAGCGUUGUGCUAUUUGGUAUAUUUUCGGUUUCGAUCCUCAAUUAUUUAUGUGCAUUUGUAUUUUGAUCCUUGGCUCAGUUUUUAAUAGUUUGUUUUAUUUAAAAAUUAUCC